CCAAACCCAUUCCCCAAAAAAAUAUCCGCACAUCUCCCACUCUAACCCUUCCCCACUCUAAGCAACUAUCCCUAAAACCCUCGUUCCUCUUGUUUUGGAAAACAGAAAUUGUCAAGGUAUGGCCACCCUAGUUUUUUUUUCCUCUUCUUAAUUAUUUCAAUUUUUGCCAUGCUUUCUUAGGAUUCUUGAUCGAGAAUAGUUCCUUUCAGUUUCAUCAUUACAUUGUGACAGUGAAAUGGCAAUCCCGACUUUAGCUAUAUUGAUAAGUGUCAAGAAUACUCCAACAGCUUAUAAGGAUGAAAUUAUGGGAUGCAUUAGCACAACCAUUUGUAGGCAUAUGCUCCAAAUUUAUGUUGCAGUAUGGUGAUUAGGUUUAUUCUUUUUAAGUAAACCCGAAUUUGUCUUUUCAGGCACUUGUGUUAUGGGCAUCAACGUACAAACAGACAAGUGUAAUAAUCAUGAGGUAUGUAUGAUACUUUACUCUUUCUGAAAACAAAAUCAAUUGGAUAUACUACCUAGUGAAGGAUGGAGUAUUUACAAAAUUCUUGUUAAAAGUUUUAGGACUUCUGAAAUUUUAUUUAGAAUAAUAAUAUUUUACUCUAGUAAUGUUUGUUUUUAUGAAACAAGUGUGAUGUUAAACUGGUUUAGCUUAUGCUCCUUUCUUGAGCAGAGAAAUAUGAGAAUAUAAUUUUUUUGGCAGUUACAAACUUAAGAAUUUACAAGACUUCAGACUUGGAAACACCUAGUUAUCAGAUACUAAGAAGAAAUGCAGCUUAUGGGAUUGGUAGUAUUUUCUUAUAGUGUUGUGCUUCAAACUAAGAACUGCUAAAUAAGACUUAUGUCUUGAACGGUUUGUAGUUUUUUGAUAUAUACAUUGCACAAAUAAUCUUAAGGUUUUAAAGAAGCAGGUUGUUGUUUCUGGCAGAAUCUUACCCUACAAAAGGAAAUGUUAUUUAGUUCAAAUGUGAUUGACAAGUCCCAACUAACUAAUGUACUAAACUUAUGGUGUGGAUGUCAUUUUUUUUAUAUACAGGUUAGAAUUUAUGACUCCUUCAUAGUUGUAGAAACAGAAGGUGGCAGUCCUGCAAGAUCAAGAGGGUAACAUGGCAAUCUUGCUGGAUCAGGAGGUGGUGUCACCAGGUGAAGUAAUCGAUGGAGUGCUAUAAGAUCUUAUUUUGUUGCGUCCUUGUUCUUGAUAUCCGCAAAAACAACAAUUUCUUUCACGCACAGGGUACAAAUACAAUCGGCUAAUGUCUUUCAAUUCGCCAUCGGAACCUGGUAUUAGAAAAGCAUUGGAGCAGUUAUGAGUUUUGAUUUCUCUUCACUGUCCGCUGAUGGUUACCAUCCCUAUCCAGACUCACAUUAGCUAGUUUUUUUAGAACUUUAUUAUUCUGUGUUGUAAAAGAGUUAUGUACUGUGGAUCUGUAUGAAAUUAUUCUUUUUCUUGUAAAAAAUAUCGUACUUUUGAGUAUAACAACAUUUUAGUAUUCUAAUUUAUCUUGAAUGAUAUUGUUG
rnacentral:lncRNA from 1 species